UACGAAGGGGGCUAGCGUUGCUCGGAAUCACUGGGCGUAAAGCGCACGUAGGCGGACUCUUAAGUCGGUGGUGAAAUCCUGGAGCUCAACUCCAGAACUGCCUUCGAUACUGGGAGUCUCGAGUCCGGGAGAGGUGAGUGGAACUGCGAGUGUAGAGGUGAAAUUCGUAGAUAUUCGCAAGAACACCAGUGGCGAAGGCGGCUCACUGGCCCGGUACUGACGCUGAGGAGCGAAAGUGUGGGGAGCGAACAGG
rnacentral:rRNA from 1 species